GACGAACGCUGGCGGCGUGCUUAACACAUGCAAGUCGAACGAUGAAGCCUUUCGGGGUGGAUUAGUGGCGAACGGGUGAGUAACACGUGGGUAAUCUGCCCUGCACUCUGGGAUAAGCCCGGGAAACUGGGUCUAAUACCGGAUAUGACUUUCUUACGCAUGUAGGAAGGUGGAAAGUUCCGGCGGUGCAGGAUGAACCCGCGGCCUAUCAGCUUGUUGGUGGGGUAAUGGCCUACCAAGGCGACGACGGGUAGCCGGCCUGAGAGGGCGACCGGUCACACUGGGACUGAGACACGGCCCAGACUCCUACGGGAGGCAGCAGUGGGGAAGUAUUGCACAAUGGGCGAAAGCCUGAUGCAGCGACG
rnacentral:rRNA from 1 species